rnacentral:rRNA from 1 species
AGCAAUACUUCCGCCGGCGACCGGCGCACGGGUGAGUAACACGUAUGGAACCUGCCCGUAGCAGGGGGAUAAACGGAAGAAAUUCCGUCUAAUACCGCGUAAUAACUCCGAGAGGCAUCUCAUGGAGUUUAAAGGGUAACACCGGCUACGGAUGGCCAUGCGGCGCAUUAGCUAGUUGGCGGGGUAACGGCCCACCAAGGCGACGAUGCGUAGGGGUUCUGAGAGGAAGGUCCCCCACACUGGUACUGAGACACGGACCAGACUCCUACGGGAGGCAGCAGUGAGGAAUAUUGGUCAAUGGGCGCGAGCCUGAACCAGCCAAGUCGCGUGAGGGAAGACGGUCCUAUGGAUUGUAAACCUCUUUUGUCGGGGAGCAAAAGACGCCACGUGUGGCGUUCCGAGAGUACCCGAAGAAAAAGCAUCGGCUAACUCCGUGCCAGCAGCCGCGGUAAUACGGAGGAUGCGAGCGUUAUCCGGAUUUAUUGGGUUUAAAGGGUGCGCAGGCGGAAGAUCAAGUCAGCGGUAAAAUUGAGAGGCUCAACCUCUUCGAGCCGUUGAAACUGGUUUUCUUGAGUGAGCGAGAAGUAUGCGGAAUGCGUGGUGUAGCGGUGAAAUGCAUAGAUAUCACGCAGAACUCCGAUUGCGAAGGCAGCAUACCGGCGCUCAACUGACGCUCAUGCACGAAAGUGUGGGUAUCGAACAGGAUUAGAUACCCUGGUAGUCCACACAGUAAACGAUGAAUACUAAUUGUUCGGGGAGAAUGAUCCCUGAGUGAUACAGCGAAAGCGUUAAGUAUUCCACCUGGGGAGUACGCCGGCAACGGUGAAACUCAAAGGAAUUGACGGGGGCCCGCACAAGCGGAGGAACAUGUGGUUUAAUUCGAUGAUACGCGAGGAACCUUACCCGGGCUCAAAC